UAGAUAUUAAUCCAUUAUCAGAUAUGUGAUUUGCAACUAUUUUCUCCCAUUCUUUAGGCUGCUUUUUAAUUUUGUUGACUGUGUCUUUUGCUGUGUGGAUGCUUAUUAGUUUGAUGUAGUCCAACUUUAUUUUUGUUUUUAUUGCUUAUGCUUUUGGUGUCAUAUCAAAAAAUCCUUGCCAUGACUAAUGUCAAUCAAUGUUUCUAUAUUUUCUUCUAUUAAUUUUAUGAUUUCAAGUCUUACAUGGAAGUCCUUGAUACAUUUAGGGUUAAUUUCUGAGCAAUGUAAAGUACGGGUCCAAUUGCAUUUUUUUUGCAUAUGAAUAUUCAGUUUAACCAAAACCAUUUAUUGAGGAGAUUAUCCCAUGUAUUCUCAGCUCCAUUGUCAAAAAUUAGUUGACCUAUAAUAGGAGUUAUUUCUAGGUUCUUGAUCCUUUUCCACUGAUGUAUUUUUUUUUUUAAUGCCAGCACCAUGCUGUUUUAUUUACUGUAGCUUGGUAAUAAAGUUUGAAAGCAGGAAAUAUGAUUUGGCAAGAUUUGUUCUUUCUCAGAAUUGCUUUGGCUAUUUCAGUUCUUUGGGAGUUCCAUGUGAAUUUUAGGAAUGUUUUUCUAUUUCUGUGAAAAAUGACAUUGAAAUUUUGAAAAAAUUGCAUUGAAUCUGUAGCAUAUUGGCACCGUGACUACAGGGGCUGGCCACUGGCAUUUUAUCAAUGGUAGAAGCCACUGAUGGUAUUUGGAGCUAGCAGUGAGCAAGUAUGAUAUUAUAGAAGCAGUGAGCAAGUAUGAUGUUGCCAGCACAUGCAGGAGUGCAGGUCAUUGACAGGAGACAGGGAAUCUCUAGGCACUUGGGCAGCUAUGUAUGCCAGGGUUUCAUCUUGUACUCAUGUGGCAUCUAUGGCUAGCCAUGGACCCAUAUGUGGCAGUAGAGGCUAGUGAUGGGCACUGGGCCUGGUGGUGUACAGGUGCACAGCUACAGGGGCUAGAUAUAGUCACAAGCACAGUAAUGGAGGAGAGUGACAGGUGUUGGAACUGGGACCAUAUGGAUGUAUAACUGCAGGAGCUAGCUGUGAGCAUAGGCAGCAAUGAAGACCUGUGACACAAAUUCGGCCACGUCCUUGGCCUAAGAGCAGCCAUGGAGGCUUUGGUUGUCAGUGUGCACUCCUGUGGCUACAGGGCCUGCAAUGGGCACAGGCACUGCAGUGGAGGUGGGUGACAGAAAUCAGAGCUGAUGGCAUGCAAGUACAUAGCUGCAGGAGUGAUCUGUACAUGCACGGAGAUGUUUGGGACAGUGACAGGAGCCAGAACCAGAUAAGGCUGAUAAGCAUGUAGCUGCUUCUUAAAUGUGAAUGUACCUCUUUUAUGUAAAGCCAAAUUAGCUUGGAGAGUUGCCAAAAUAAUAUUUUACAAAAAUUUAAUGAGGAAUAAAAAUACAAUAUUCAUAGCAGUCAGUACUAACUGGAGAAUGACACCACAAAGCAGUGAUGCAGUUACAUAGAAGUGAGAAAAAAAUGCAUAACUAGAAGAAAUAGAAUUUUAAACCAUAAGUAGACCACAUUUUCUUUGGCUUUCCUUUUAGGACAUAAAGUAUUAUGCUGAAAUAGGCUGGAUACCCAGAAAAGUUUUAACAGGUAAAGCCAUCUGGUCAUUAAUCUGCCUUGAAAUUUCUGAAAGGUGCUGAGGGCAAAGCAGCAGAUGUCAUUAGUGAACUGUGUAGUGAUAAUAAUCAAAAAAUUUCCUUCUGCCUUAGCAUGUGAAACAAAGAAAGAAAAGGGAAUUAACACAGGAAGAGGAAUUUAGAUGUCCUCAUAAUUUUAAUCUAAAAGAAAAAAAAAGAUUAUUUGGUUGAGCUUCAUAUUUGCAUUUAUUUCUACAAGAUUUAUAAAAUUUGGGAAAUGUCUACUGAAUGGGAACAAAUAUAUUAUGUUUUCUAGUAGGAUAUAGUCUAUAGUAUAUAUGUGUGUGUAUAUAUACACACAUACUCACAGUUAUCUACUAAAUGUGGACAUUAUUGUUACCAAUGUCAUAUAUUAAUAAUGACAAAUAAUAGAAUAUUUUCUUUUAAGACUGAGAAAUUUUGUUUUAACAAAAAUAUUCUAUUUUAAUUAUUUUCAAAUCUAAUGUGGCUAUAACACAACCCAGAAUUUUUAAGUUACAAAAAUCAGUAGGAUUGAGCUCGUUAUUAAAAAUAAAAUAAAAUCUUUUUGCAGAAUUCCUUCCAUACAAAUCGAUGAGUUGCAAAAAUGAGGAUAGAUUCUGUAUUACACAGUGAUACUUUAGAUAUUUAUAAAUCAGUUUAUAUAUUAGUGCUUUCAAUGCCCUUUAAAUGCAAGAAAUGCAUGUAUAAGCAUAUAUAUACACACAUGUAUGUAUAUAUGCAUAUAUAGAUGAUCUAGCAGUGAAGACAAAUCUUUCCUCUUGAGAGAAUUUGGAACCUCAGAGAACUUAAAAGAGGUGAAUAUUUUUUUAGGUCUUAUAAAAUCUACAGCUACAGAGAUAUAAUGUCCAAGAAGUUAGGUUAAGGCAUCUGUUCUCCUUAGGGAGAGUUAGAGGAAGGGAGAGUUAAAGAGUUAGGCUUCAAAAGUUAAUAACAUAGAGAAUUCUGGGAAUGGAAUUAUGCUUUGGGUUAAUAGAGUUCAAUUUAUCAAUAACCUAUUAUAUUAAAUCAUAACUAUUCAGUGAAAGCUUUAAAACAACUGCAAAAAUAUUGUUGUUUUUGUCUUCUACAUGAUUACAAAUUUCUGAGACUAUCUGGAAAUCAUAAGUGUUAAAGGAUUGAUGUUAGAGUGGUCUAGUUCCAUGCUUCUACUAUUCUUACUUCAUUGACUUAUGCUACACUUGUCUGAUUGCUCUGUCCUCUUAAUUAUUUUCUAAGAAUCAAAGAAUAGAAGAAUUACUUAUUUUGUCCUUACAAAGAUGACUUCCUUAUGACAGAGAAACUGUUUAGAAGUGCCUGGAGUUCCUGCUUUGACACAAUGGGGUAAGAAUCCAACUGCCCAUGGCUCAGUCACUGUGGAGGUAUGGGUGCACUCCAUAGCCCAGCACAGUGGGUUGAAGGAUCCAGCCACCCAGGUGUGGCUCAGAUGGAUUCAGUCCCUAGCCCAGGAACUUCCAUGUAAAAAAAAAAAUUGCUGUAAGUAUAUCAGCAGGGGGAAUGUAUUGAUUGCAGUGUAUCAGUCAUCUGAAAUACUGCUAUGAAAUAUUUUGGCAAUCUAUAAUUUUUCAGGCUUUCAAAAAGGAAACAACAUCUUCCUAUAAACCUGAUUGAAUUAAUUAUACAGAUGCCAAUAAAACACCAUAUGAGCCAUUUGUCUUUUAUUAUGCAUAAUGCUAAGAUAGAAAUAUUCUGUGUUCACACGUGAUUGAUUAAAAUAUCUUUUCAAUUAAAAAAUGUUUUGAAACAAAAAGAAGCUUUUGUGGUAUCAAUUUUUAAAAAUGUGGUUAAGAGCAUUUAUCACAGAAGAGCAGUUUCUGAACACAGUCUGGAUAAAACAGACCAAAUACAAGAGUUUGCUUUUGGUUAUUGGGGAAUAAAAAGCAGCAGAGUCUCCAUAUAGUCUUUUAUAUAUCCCUUUUAUUACUUUGCUCUUCUCUGUGUUUUUGUGUGUUUUUGUUAUCAGAUGACCUAGAUAAUUUCAAGAACAAUUUAUAUUUUCAAGGAGGUUGGUUGGAAUCUGAAAACUUCAUCAAGUUGUCAUAUUGGAAAAGAACGUGGACUUUUCAUUUAAAUGUAGAAUAUUAUGGUGGGGAUGUUUUCAAUUUAAAUGUAUGUACAUCUUUGCUUGGUAUUUAAUAAACCACUUAAAAGUACUAAGGCUUUGUGUUCCCAUAGCUGUCGAAUAGGCUGUGGUAUUUCUUAAGCACUAGAAAAUAAUGGUAUGGCGAAAGGGAGAGCAUGUUUAAACCUGCAAAUUCAGACACUUCUGGGGGGUGAAAGGAAGUUUCUCUAUGCUCAAGUCUUCCCUAAAAUAAACAGACUUCCUUUUCCAACUGUUGGGCCUGAGAGUCAUUCAUCCUACCCAUUCAGUCCCUCUGUAUCCAGAGUACACUGAUAACAGAGGGAUCCCAGCUCCUCUCCAGUGCUCACAUGUUAUCAUAUAUAUCAAAGAAAUCACUGUGUAUAACAGGAAUGUGGAUAACAGAUACCUGAGAAAGAGUGUGGAUCAGGAAACAUAUGGGGAAAAACACAGGAGAUAAGGAAGGUGAGUGUUUCGGUGAGGAAAUCAGAGUUAAAGUUACUGAGUGAGAUGAUUUGAAAGAGCUUAAGGCAGCAGGACUCUUGGAGAGGGAAGGCAAAAGGACUUAGGGCUCUUGCUAUGAGCUAUAAAUUAGCCUUAAGUGGAUGUGAGAAGAUGAAAGUACAUAUUCUACUUUUACAUUGUUUAUAGCACUUCUCUGAAUUCAAUACUGCAGUAAGAUUAAAACAUAAGGAAUUCCAGAAUUAGUUCAAAUACAUUUACAUCUGCUUAAUUAUUUAAAUUCUAAAAAGCCGAUAGUCAGGUCCUUGCAUUCAAAUUGCCAUUUUAGCCAGAAGUCUAUUCUGUAUUUCUAAAGUAACACAGAAAGGCUGUAUUUUCAAAAUUUAUUAGAAAAAAAUAUUUAGGGCUCUAAAUCAUCUAAAUAGAUGCUUGAAUAUCUCAUAUUAUCGCAUGCGUAGGAAUACCCUAUUUUGUGCUAAUAAAUAAAGCACAUGGUUCUUAUUUACUGUUAAAAUCCUACUAAAUGUAAUGUCAUUAUAUUAAAUUCCCAGGAAAGAUGGAUGGCUAUAGGAAAAAUAUGGCUUAUGGACUUCAUUUUUUUCUUUCCGAAUUUAGAGUGUAUUUUUUUCUUUGUUUCUUCUGUAGGCUUCUCUAUCAAUCAGGAGGUUCCUAUAAUCUAGACUUGAGUUUCAUGAAGAAAAGUUAUUCCUAAGAAUCUGAAACAUGAUGUACAAAAAAUAUGGUUUACAACAAAUAUGUUCCCAAAGACUCACACUUCUGUGCUACAUCAGAAUGCUAAUGUCCUUUGAGCAACAGCCAGAAUUUCUAAGUGUGUGGUUUGUGCGCUCUUUUUUUACAAACCAAGAACUGCUAGUUACAAAAUGCAAAUAAGUUUUAUUAACAAAGAUCAACUGGAAAUUGCUAUGGACUGAAUUGUGUUGCCCUGAAAUUCAUAUGUUGAAGUCCAGUGUGACUGUAUUUGGAGGUAGGCUUUUUGGUGGUAAUUAAGAAAUGUAAGAAAAUAAAUAUCUGUUGUUUAAGCUACCAGUCUAUAGUAUUUUGUUAAAGCAGCCUGAGAAAACAAAUAGAAAUUUUAGUAUAACGAGAUACACGGGAUUAAGAUGGCAGAAUAGAAGGACUGGAGCUCACCUUCUAUCAUAAAAACAGCAAAUUACAACCAAAUGCUGAACAACCUUCAACUAAGUGGACUGGAAACUUUCACAAAGAUAUACUGCUCCAGAGACAAAGAGGAGGCUACAUCAAGACAGUAGAAGGGGCAAUUAUGUGAUAUAAACAACUCUGCCAGGUGGCCAGCCAAUAGACUGGAAAGUAGCUGUAUCACAGAGACUCACCUACAGGAGUGAGAGUUUAGAAGUCCCCACUUCAGGUCCCCACUCCCUGACAUUGGGAGAAAGAGCCCCCAGAGCAUCUGGCAUCAAAAUUAAUACACAGAUAUCAAUUGCAUUUCUAUACACUAACAAUGAAAAAUCAGAAAGAGAAAUUAGGGA
rnacentral:lncRNA from 1 species